CAGCCGCCGCGGGAAUACGAAGGGUGCAAGCGUUACUCGGAAUUACUGGGCGUAAAGCGUGCGUAGGUGGUGGUUUAAGUCCGUUGUGAAAGCCCUGGGCUCAACCUGGGAAUUGCAGUGGAUACUGGGUCACUAGAGUGUGGUAGAGGAUAGUGGAAUUUCCGGUGUAGCAGUGAAAUGCGUAGAGAUCGGGAGGAACAUCAGUGGCGAAGGCGGCCAUCUGGGACAACACUGACGCUGAGGCACGAAAGCGUGGGGAGCAAACAGGAUUAGAGACCCCUGUAGUCCCUGUCUCUUAUAC
rnacentral:rRNA from 1 species